GUAGGUGGAGAUGGUCGAGAAAUUGAGACACAUGGUUCUGCUGUCCUGGGUAACUUCUGCGACAAGCGCAUUCGAUGGUACAAAAGACAUAAUGGAAGCUCUUAGAAACAAACAUACUAAUCUAGCCAAUGAGCUUGAGCUUUAGGGUGGUGCUGCUGGAGCUCAUGAUAGGCAGACGGUCAAUGGACAAGAGCCGAUCAGCAGGGUAAGACAAGUAUUAUUUAUGUACUUUAUGACUCAUGCGC